rnacentral:rRNA from 1 species
UACGUAGGGUGCGAGCGUUGUCCGGAAUUACUGGGCGUAAAGCGUGCGCAGGCGGUGAUGUAAGACAGGUGUGAAAUCCUCGGGCUUAACCUGGGAACUGCAUUUGUGACUGCAUCGCUGGAGUGCGGCAGAGGGGGAUGGAAUUCCGCGUGUAGCAGUGAAAUGCGUAGAUAUGCGGAGGAACACCGAUGGCGAAGGCAAUCCCCUGGGCCUGCACUGACGCUCAUGCACGAAAGCGUGGGGAGCAAACAGG